GCUUGAGAGCAAUGUUGGCAUCUUGGGUGCUGUAAUUACAUUGAUAGCCUAAGGGUAAUAAUAAUGACCUACUUCAUUAUUUUAACUAUGAUAUAAUAAUUACUCAUCUCUUGCUUCAUGUAUGAGGUUGGAUUCACCAUGAAAAACAGAACAGAGUCAUAGUAGCAGCGACAAUAAUACAACAUUAAAAUAUUUCUGUUGCAAUUUUGUUCUUUUUGAUUCACGUUUAAAGAGUGACUAUUACAGACAUAUCAGUUGCUCAUGUUAUUGAAUAUUCCUUCAUAUGAUAAGUUCAGUUAUUUCAACCAUGCCUUAGUUUCUUAAACUCACCUUGUUUUGUU
rnacentral:misc_RNA from 1 species